CUCUUCAAUAUUUUUACAUGAUUUUCAGUUUAAAAGAAAAACCUCCUGUUUCUCACUUUGGUGUAUUAAAAGAUCAUUAUUUCUGCCUCCUCCUAGCUACUGUCCUUUAAAGGCCCCCCACUCCCAGCCUACUUUUAUUUCUGAUCUCCCCUGUUUGUAUCUCAACUGUUUGUCUAUUUCGUCCUCAGGUUGUAUGACUCGGUUUCAUCUUCCAUAAAUUUGCUCAACAUCAGAUGGAGAAGAUGAGUGAUUGUGUCGAGGAAGAGGAGGGCAGAGCGAAGUCUGUCAUGUCUGACUGUCUGUCUUUGAAGAGUGACUGGUCUAAAGGUUCACCACUGGACUUCAGUAAAGAACCAGGACCCUCAGAUGCAGAGUAAGAGAAACACUUUUUAACCUCCAAACUCUCAAACAGUCAUUAAUGAUGCUCUAAAUUCUGACCCCUCUGUUUUCUACCAUGGAGCGAAAAAUGAUCUCUGCUCUCAAAAUGGUGAUUUUCCUGUUUAAUAUGCCAACCUGGAGAAAAUGAAGAAAAAGUCACUGAGCACAUAUUCAUUUAUUAUUCAUAAUGUUUAUGAAAAUGAAGGAUGUAUAAAACAGCAUUUAAAAAGGAUUCUGACCUCAGUUUUUUCUGAUUUGGUUCCUGUUUUUGGAACGUUUUGAGCCUGUAAGUCUUUGGACUGUGGUGUGUAGACCCCAGAAAACAGUCUGUGGGUCACAAAAUACCAGAAGACCAAUGAAGAAAUAAUUCCUGAGAAAUAAAAAACUAAUUCAGAGCGUCUUUCUGUUAUUCGACCUUUAGAUCUGAUUGGUCAAAAAAAUGUUUUAAACUGUCAGAGAAAAUCUCUCUACCUUCAAAAUUCACAGUUUAGUUUUUCUCCUGUCACCACACUUUCAGGCAGCAGCAGCUGAAUAUUUUACAGGAGAUUGUUUUAUGUUUGAGGAAAGAGUGAGGUCAGAAACUCUGGUUUAAUAAAUGCUUCUUAUUCUGUAUCUUCCAAAUGAUAAUGAUAAAGAAAAUAAAUGUUCUUUAUUUCCAUAGAGAGACAGAGAGAUUUGACUCUGUGGAGGAGCAGCUGUCCAGAUAUCUCAACUCUAAAAGAAGUAAGUCUGAACAUCUGUUCUCUAAAGUCUCUGUCGAUGAAAACACAGCUGACUGAUUGAUCACAAAGAUGUUUUAGUGUUGAGCAGUUUGGUUCAUUUUAUUUUUCUUCUCUUUUAGCAGAUCGCAGUCUGCAGGAGGUUUUAGAUGAACAUAAGAUCAGUCUGAAGAGGAGAUGUGAACGUGUGAAUGAAGGAAGUGAUGAAAGGGGGAGGCAAACCCUCCUCAACAUGAUCUUCACUGACCUCUACAUCACAGAAGGACUGAGUGAAGAGGUGAACACCCAACAUGAGUCGAGACAGCUGGAGACAGCUUCAAAGAUGAAGACCCUCAGUGACACGCCCAUCAAGUGCCAUGAAAUCUUCAGAGUCUUACCAGGUCAACAGGAAGUCCUCAGAGUGGUUCUGACCAACGGCGUCGCUGGUGUUGGAAAAACCUUCUCAGUGCAGAAGUUCACUCUAGACUGGGCAGAGGGUUUGGAGAACCAAGACCUCAAUCUGGUGGUCCUGCUUUCAUUCAGGGAACUGAACCUGAUCAGAGAUGAGCCCUACAGUCUUCUGAGUCUGCUCCAUGUUUUCCAUCCAACACUAGAGAAGGUCACAGCAGAGACGCUGGCUGUCUGUAAACUUCUGUUCAUCUUUGACGGUCUGGAUGAAAGCAGACUGUCUCUGGAUUUCACAGACUCUGAGGUCGUUUCUGACGUCACACAGAAGUCAUCAAUAAACGUUCUGUUAACAAACCUCAUCAAGGGAAAUCUGCUUCCCUCAGCUCUCAUCUGGAUAACUUCUCGACCUGCAGCAGCCAAUCAGAUCCCUCCUUCAUGUGUGGACAGGGUAACAGAAGUACGAGGCUUCACUGACGCCCAGAAGGAGGAGUACUUCAGGAAGAGGUUCAGAGAUGAAGAUCUGUCCAGAAGAAUCAUCUCACACAUCAAGUCCUCCAGGAGCCUCCACAUCAUGUGUCAGAUCCCGGUCUUCUGCUGGAUCACUGCAACAGUUCUGGAGGACAUGAUGAGCAGAGAGCAGAGAGGAGAGCUGCCCAAGACCCUGACUGACAUGUACUCACACUUCCUGCUGGUCCAGACUAAGAAGAAGAAGCAGAAGUAUGAAGGGGGACAUGAGACAAGUUCUCAGGAGCUGACUGAGACUGACAGUGAAGUCCUCCUGAAGCUGGGGAGACUGGCCUUUGAACAUCUGGAAAAAGGAAACAUCAUGUUCUACCAAGAAGACCUGGAGCGGUGUGGUCUGGAUGUCUUAGAGGCUUCUGUGUACUCAGGAGUUUGUACAGAGAUCUUCAGAAGAGAGAGUGUGAUCUUCCAGAAAACAGUUUACUGUUUCGUUCAUCUGAGCGUUCAGGAGUUCCUGGCUGCAGUCUACAUGAUCCACAGUUUCACAAACAAGAACACAGAAAUUCUGGAGACUUUCCAGAAAGACAACAAACAAAAAGAUAAUCCGGAUAACAGUUUCCUAUCUCUGGAUGACUUCCUGAAGCUUGUCAUUGAGAAAUCUCUUCUCAGUAAAAAUGGUCACCUGGACCUGUUUGUUCGCUUCCUUCAUGGACUUUCUCUGGAGUCAAACCAGAGAGUCUCAGGAGGUCUGCUGGGUCACACAGACCACAGUUCAGAAAUGAUCCAAAGAGUCAUCGACAACCUGAAGGAGAUGAACAGUUAUUAUAUCUCUCCUGACAGAAGCAUCAAUAUUUUCUACUGUCUGAUGGAGAUGAACGAUCUGUCAGUUUAUCAGGAGAUUCAAGAGUUCCUGAAGUCAAAGGACAGAUCAGAGAAGGAACUCUCAGAGAUCCACUGCUCUGCUCUGGCCUACAUGCUGCAGAUGUCAGAGGAGGUUCUGGAUGAGUUGAACUUAUAUGAUUAUAACACAUCAGAGCAGGGACGACUGAGACUGAUCCCAGCUGUGAGAAACUGCAGAAAGGCUAAGUAAGUCCGGGUUUUAUUCUCAGAAUAGUGUAAAUGAGCUCUGUAGCUCUUCCAAUGUCCAUGUUACUGAUGAUGUUCUUCUUCAAAUAGAAAUCUACUGAAAUAUCAGGGAGGCGGGUUCUUUAGGUUUAGCAAAAACAUGAUCCUGGUGUCAAAAGUCCUAUCAGCACAGGAUGAGGUCUACCUGUGGACCCCUGAGAACUUGUCCUAAUUGUGGAGGACCUCUUUGUUUUGCAUCAAGUUGAAUAGACGGUGUCUGUAAAGAAUAAAGUAGAAAUUUUAGGACAAAUCAGCGACCAAAUCUAAGGACACACAGAGGUCUUCCGAUGAUGAUAUCAGUCCAGUCCAAAUCAACAUCUCAGUCAAUUGUGGUGAACUUGAGUUUGAAGAAGGUGGCUGCAGCUUUUUCCUGCUGGUUUUCUGGUUAGAAAUGAUGAAUCUGUCGUAAAUGAGGGUGUUGACAGCUUUUAUAGUGAAAAUAGAGCUGGAUCAUUUUCUACCCAGUGGCAGAACUGUCUCUGUAUCAUAAUGUCAACCAUUCAAUAUUCCUAAUCAAUACAACAAUGAAAACUAACAUCAUAUUCCACCACUCACUGGAUAGUAUAUGGUGGACUAUAACACAUAAAUGACGACAACACACGAGUUAUUUGGACAGCAGCUCCAUGUGUGAAAACAAUGGUGGAAACAGGAUGUUUGUGUCUCUCUCUGUCUUUGCCCUCAAUGCUGCAGGUUGGCACUGACACUACUCUGCCUCAUAACGCUUCAUGGCAUUUGGAAACAGCUGUGCUUGUCCACUUCAUAUAUGGACACCAUAAGGAUAAGCAGUUUGAUUGCAUCAUCAUCAGCAGCAGCAGCAACUUUCCAUGGUGUCCCUUUGUCAGAGUCGGCCCAAAGCAUAAGCGAACUGAGUGCCUGCUUAGGGCCCUGUGGCCAAAAGGGGCCCCCCAAGAGCAAUCAAAAUAAAUAAAAUAAAAUGAAAUAUUUUAUUUUUUGCAUGUAUGAGUGAUGCCUUCUGUAUGAUCAAAUAUAUAUUAUAGUAAAAAUAAAAUAAAGUAAAAACAUUUUA
rnacentral:lncRNA from 1 species